rnacentral:rRNA from 1 species
UACGUAGGGUGCGAGCGUUAAUCGGAAUUACUGGGCGUAAAGCGUGCGCAGGCGGUUUUGUAAGUCAGAUGUGAAAUCCCCGGGCUUAACCUGGGAAUGGCAUUUGGGACUGCAAGGCUUGAGUGCGGCAGAGGAGACUGGAAUUCCUGGUGUAGCAGUGAAAUGCGUAGAUAUCAGGAGGAAUACCGAUGGCGAAGGCAGGUGUCUGGGCUGACACUGACGCUCAUGCACGAAAGCGUGGGGAGCAAACAGG